UUUAACCUGUGUGUGGAUAGUGUUCAGCACCAAGGACAGGCAUGUUUAGUUGUGUGUGGAUGAUGUUCAACACAAAGGACUGAUGUAUUUAACC
rfam:Branchiostoma floridae genomic scaffold BRAFLscaffold_204, whole genome shotgun sequence.